UUGGUAGUUAGUUGAGUUGAGUCAGUGUUUCCUCCAACACAACAUCGAGCUCUAUUACAAAACCAGGUUUCUUUCUAAAUUGGGAGCUUUGAGGAUCUUGGGUUGGUCUUCUCAUGGCACAUAUUGGUGGGCAUCAUUUCUCUGGAGGGUCUCUAUCAGGGAAAUAUUCUUUAUCGAUUUCCAUCACUACAACGUACAGCUUCUCCUCAGAGGAGUGGAAGGAAGGAAUAUCUUUUCAGUAUUGUUGUCCAUUGCGAGAGUCCGGAAGUUUAGUGAGUGUUCAAUCGGAAUUUUGAAGACAACAAUAACUACAUCAUACCGUGAUUACAGUUUUUCCAAGGUUUGUAAUUGGCUACCGGAUGACUUGAAGGAAGAAUAUGUGCAUAGUGUGAAAGUAGUGGAGAAGGCGGUGUUGAGAGCUGUAAUUUUCCCUUGUUUUUCCAUUCUGUUCAUUUGAAAUCAUCUGUGCCAUGGCAGACAUGAAGAUGUGAAUAAGAUAUAUGUUCUUAUUGCUAAACUUUAGUGAGAUGAUGCUAGUGAUGCCCUUUCUUCUGUUAGCUUUAUAUUAUUGCUUAGUUAGUUUUUCUUGUACAAUGUAUGACAGCAAAAAGAAAAAAAUGGAAGAUCAUUUUCAUAUUUUUAAUUAUGGAUGAAUUUUUAUUUA